CCAGCUUGAGGCAGCUCUGACAUGCGUGCCUUGACACAGGCUGAAGGCACGCCCCUCAGUUAUGCAUAUGCAUUAGCUACCUCAUUCGUCCUCCUUCUCCUGUUCUGCCCUGAACGUGGGAUACAGCCAUAAGAAGGAGACAUCUUCCUCAUACAGAUCACCAGGCAGAAGCGUACCCGUGAGUUUCUCCGGAAUCCCGAGCGACAGAUAAAUCUUUGUUCACCUACAAACAACGCAUUCAGCCCACAGGGAUAGGAAUACAACUGCCGCUCGUCUCCAUUCCUCAUUGUGCUGGCUUAAUUGACAAGACCCCAAACCACUUGCACCAGAGAUCAGUAACAUGCGUACUGAGAAUCAUCGGCGUGAUCCUGCGCUGUAAAUUAAAGCAACACCUUUGAGUCGCUGCUGUUGGAGAAAUUCAGAACAGAACUUAAAAGACACAAGUAAGCUUUGGGAAGCUCUAUAAUGGGAAGCGAGGGAACUCUCUAAACAUCUGCACCGUUAUACAGUCACGGGAAACUGGGUUCAGUCACAAUGACACCGCCAUCUAUUGUCACUGAGCUGCCAGGAACGGAGCAGACAAAUCAGUACAGUAAUAGAACAUUUUUUCACGUUGCGGUUAUCACUGAACAAAGUAACAUCAGACGUAUGGGGAGCUCCCAGUCAGCAGAAGCAAUGUGCACCCAGGGAUCUCAGUUAAUAAAACUCGUUUCAGUUUACUUUAAAUGAAAGUUGUUACUUUUCUGCAAUUAGUCAUAAAAAAACUGCUACGUUUGUUAUAACAGUCAUAAAAAUAUUAAUUUGUGUAUU